rfam:Salmo salar isolate Sally breed double haploid chromosome ssa02, whole genome shotgun sequence.
CAUAAUCCAUUUUGUAAGUCGCUCUGGAUAAGAGCGUCUGCUAAAUGACUUAAA